AGGCUCUCCUGAAGAAGCACGAGGCCCUGAUGUCGGACCUGUCGGCUUACGGCAGCAGCAUCCAGGCCCUGAAGGAGCAGGCCCAGUCCUGCAGGCAACAAGGUGAUCAGCAGGUGCUUUUGUCCUGCAGGACCUGAAGGCCAACGAGUCCCGCCUGAGGGACAUCAACAAGGUGGCAUCUGAACUGGAGUCAGAAGGUCUGAUGGCUGAGGAGGCUCCUAUGGUUCCGGCUCAGGUGAGCGUCACCUGUCUGCAGCAGCUGGUCCCUCUCACCUCCUGGUUUAACUCUGCUCGUCUAUGUUUGUAGCAACAAGAACAUCUGGGUUCUGCUCCUGGAAAGGAUGAAGCCGACUCUAACACGGCGUCACCCUGGAAGGUGAGUUCAUUCAGCUGAUCAGAGGUCACCUCUGAUGGCCGCAGUCACGGCCGACCGUGCUGACAUCACACAGGAAUUCAGGUGACCCGGCAGGCACCAGGUGCUGGUGAAAGUGGGGACAUGUCAGCUGGUUGCCAUGGCUACAGUUAUCUUUAUGCAUCUGUAUGACUG